rnacentral:rRNA from 1 species
GAUGAACGCUCGCGGGAGGCCUAACACAUGCAAGCCGAGCGGUAUUUGUUCUUCGGAACAGAGAGAGCGGCGCACGGGUGCGGAACACGUGUGCAACCUGCCUUUAUCUGGGGGAUAGCCUUUCGAAAGGAAGAUUAAUACCCCAUAAUAUAUUGAGUGGCAUCAUUUGAUAUUGAAAACUCCGGUGGAUAGAGAUGGGCACGCGCAAGAUUAGAUAGUUGGUGAGGUAACGGCUCACCAAGUCAAUGAUCUUUAGGGGGCCUGAGAGGGUGAUCCCCCACACUGGUACUGAGACACGGACCAGACUCCUACGGGAGGCAGCAGUGAGGAAUAUUGGACAAGGGGUUAGCGCCUGAUCCAGCCAUCCCGCGUGAAGGACGACGGCCCUAUGGGUGGUAAACUUCUUUUGUAUAGGGAUAAACCUACUCUCGUGAGAGUAGCUGAAGGUACUAUACGAAUAAGCACCGGCUAACUCCGUG